GAUGAACGCUGGCGGCGUGCCUAAUACAUGCAAGUCGAGCGAAUGGAUUAAGAGCUUGCUCUUAUGAAGUUAGCGGCGGACGGGUGAGUAACACGUGGGUAACCUGCCCAUAAGACUGGGAUAACUCCGGGAAACCGGGGCUAAUACCGGAUAACAUUUUGAACCGCAUGGUUCGAAAUUGAAAGGCGGCUUCGGCUGUCACUUAUGGAUGGACCCGCGUCGCAUUAGCUAGUUGGUGAGGUAACGGCUCACCAAGGCAACGAUGCGUAGCCGACCGGAGAGGGUGAUCGGCCGCACUGGGACUGAGGCACGGCCCGGACUCCUACGGGAGGCAGCAGUAGGGAAUCUUCCGCAAUGGACGAAAGUCUGACGGAGCAACGCCGCGUGAGUGAUGAAGGCUUUCGGGUCGUAAAACUCUGUUGUUAGGGAAGAACAAGUGCUAGUUGAAUAAGCUGGCACCUUGACGGUACCUACCAGAAAGCCACGGCUAACUACGUGCCAGCCGCCGCAGUAA
rnacentral:rRNA from 1 species